GAUGAACGCUGGCGGCGUGCCUAAUACAUGCAAGUCGAGCGAACGGACGAGAAGCUUGCUUCUCUGAUGUUAGCGGCGGACGGGUGAGUAACACGUGGAUAACCUACCUAUAAGACUGGGAUAACUUCGGGAAACCGUAGCUAAUACCGGAUAAUAUUUUGAACCGCAUGGUUCAAAAGUGAAAGACGGUCUUGCUGUCACUUAUAGAUGGAUCCGCGCUGCAUUAGCUAGUUGGUAAGGUAACGGCUUACCAAGGCAACGAUGCAUAGCCGACCUGAGAGGGUGAUAGGCCACACUGGAACUGGGACACGGUCCAGACUCCUACGGGAGGCAGCAGUAGGGAAUCUGCGGCAAUGGGCGAAAGCCUGACGGAGCAACGCGGCGUGAGUGAUGAAGGUCUUCGGAUCGUAAAACUCUGUUAUUAGGGAAGAACAUAUGUGGAAGUAACUGUGCACAUCGUGACGGUACCUAAUCAGAAAGCCACGGCUAACUACGUG
rnacentral:rRNA from 1 species